UACUUUCAAACUAUUUAUGCACACAUUUAGGGCAUUUCGAGAGUUGGAUUCAGGCCGGCUGUUCCCUAUUUGUCUCUCUUACCAGACUGUAAGCUCUCAGUCUUUUUCAUCCUUGUGACUCCAGGGCCUAGCAUGACAUUCAACAAGCAGAAAGUUUAAAUUUAGGUUGAGCAGAUGAAGACAGCAAUCAUUGCUAUUUGCCAUGGAACCAUACCUACGUGUAGAUACAGUUAUGACCAAAUGAGAAGACCAGAAGUAUGAUGUUACCUUACUACCAUGGUCGGGAUGAAGCCUGUGUACUUGAUAGGAACCUUCUGGAUGCAUGGUGACUGAACCCUGCAGACUGGAUACAUUUGAAGUGCCCCCAACACUGGACUCUAAACUAGUGAACACUGAAGGACCCUGCCUAACGUCAUUUGACUUACCCCAGCAAGAGUACUGUAAUAAGCUCCCCAGGAGAACCUUAUCAGUGAGCCGAACGGUGCCAGAACAAUGAGAUCUGCUGCUUGGGGCUGAACAUGCCAAUAUACUGAUGGCACAGCACUACACAUACUGCGUGCAUUCUGUUGUGUCCCAUCUUGGAGAAGCUGACCAAAGAUGGAUGGGCUUGGAAACUUUUGAAGGCUGUAUAGAUAUGUUUGCUACCUUGAUUGUGGGGACGGUAUCACAAGAGUGUGUGUAUAUAUCCAAAUUCAUCAAAACAUAUACA